GAUCAUGGCUCAGGAUAAACGCUGGCGGCGCACAUAAGACAUGCAAGUCGAACGAACUUAAUCGAUUCUUUUAGAUUCGAAGCGGUUAGUGGCGGACUGGUGAGUAACACGUAAGCAACCUACCUAUUAGAGGGGAAUAACAGUGAGAAAUCACUGCUAAAACCGCAUAUGCCGUGAAUAUCGCAUGAUAAAAACGGAAAAGGAAGCAAUACUGCUAAUAGAUGGGCGUUGCGU
rnacentral:rRNA from 1 species